CGAAGUUUUGGCAGCCUGAGUUGCGAGUAUAUUUACGAAAAAUGUGUUUAAAAAGUGUUUUUAGUGAUCAUAAUAAGCCGUAAUAUGAUUACAGAACAGGAAUCAGUUGCGAAAAAUAUCUUAAUGGAUAUUAUCGGCCAGUUGAUGUACCUAGUUCCAUUUGAUUCAGAAUUUUACAAUAAAUGCGAUUGCAGGGAAUAUGGUGCAUAAAAUAAAAACCCUUGCGAACAGGAAUCAUCGUAGAAUAUUGUGGACUCCCAUUAGCUUGUUAGAAGAUCUCAGUUAUGCAGAUGACAUCAAUCUCCUUUUCAUAGUCACGCGGAUAUCAAUAUUAAGAAAACUAAAUCGAUGAGAGUUUGUACCAACAAUUUCGCUCCCUUUAUCAUUGGAACAGCAGCUAUAGAGGAGUAACGUUAAUGAGACAUCAAGAAAUCUAGAGAUGUAGCAAAAAUUGAGGAUGAAUAGCAGUUUUACCUGAAGAAAGAGCAGUGACAACAAUAUGAGGCAUCAAGAAAUCUAGAGAAGCUGAAGCAAAAAUUAAGGAUGAACAGUAGCUUCGCCUGAAGAAAAAUCAGUGACGGCAAUAUGAGGCAUCAAAUCUCGAGAAGCUGUAGCAAAAAUUGAGGAUGAACAGCAGAUUCACCUGAAGAAAGAUCAGGCAAGAAGUCGCCGAUAUAUUGUUUAAUAGACCCAAUAUAAAUCUAUACAUCACACGUCUCCCUAUGGCAGAGACAAAUCAUUAUAACUGUCCUUAAAAUGGAAUGAAGAAAUACUGACUAAAGAACAUGAAAGCUACUCAUUGUCGAAGUUACGAUUUGCAUCUCGCCGUAUCCUAUAUCCUAUGGUUGUGUCGCCUUUCCAAAGCAGUAUUUACAUUGUAAUGACGCCUGUAAUUUUGAAAACAUGUAAUAAAAUGGAAGCUUAUGGAGCAGGGAAAUGGAAGAAUAAAAGAUAAUGUAAUAAAUUAUACCGUAUAAUCGAAAAAAAAAACGGCGUCCACUUGGCUUGGAAAUGAUCAUCGAUGACAUUCCCCAUAUAAUUUGCCAUAUAAAAAGACAGCGAUAUUCAUUUCAUAGCCAUCUCUGAUGCCGUUUUUUUUCGAUCGUAUGGUAUUUUGUGGCAUUUGUAUUCAGAGCUAGUUUAAUAUAAACGGGGUCAUUUAAAAUUUCAUUAAAAAGCUAUGUUAUAUUAACAUAUAAUUAACUAAUGUAGAUAAUUUAAAUUAAGUAUAUAAUUUAAUAUAUAAAUAGGUUUAUAUAAUAUAGUACCUACAUGUGUAUGUAUCUAUUAAUAUACAUAUACAGGUCGAUGUGCGUGUUGUGUCAUAUAUUUGUAUAUGACACACCACACUUAUUUAUAGAUUUAAAGAUAUCACACUAAUAAUAAUGUAGAAUAAUGCAGUUAAUGUAGAAUA